rnacentral:rRNA from 1 species
AUUGAACGCUGGCGGCAUGCUUUACACAUGCAAGUCGAACGGUAACAGGCCUUCGGGUGCUGACGAGUGGCGAACGGGUGAGUAAUGCAUCGGAACGUGCCCAGUAGUGGGGGAUAGCCCGGCGAAAGCCGGAUUAAUACCGCAUACGACCUACGGGUGAAAGGGGGGGAUCGCAAGACCUCUCGCUAUUGGAGCGGCCGAUGUCAGAUUAGGUAGUUGGUGGGGUAAAGGCCUACCAAGCCUGCGAUCUGUAGCUGGUCUGAGAGGACGACCAGCCACACUGGGACUGAGACACGGCCCAGACUCCUACGGGAGGCAGCAGUGGGGAAUUUUGGACAAUGGGCGCAAACCUGAUCCAGCCAUGCCGCGUGC